UACGUAGGGUGCAAGCGUUGUCCGGAAUUAUUGGGCGUAAAGAGCUCGUAGGCGGUCUGUCGCGUCGGCUGUGAAAACCCGGGGCUCAACCCCGGGCCUGCAGUCGAUACGGGCAGACUAGAGUGUGGUAGGGGAGACUGGAAUUCCUGGUGUAGCGGUGAAAUGCGUAGAGAUCCGGAGGAACACCAGUGGCGAAGGCGACACGCUGGGCCGUACCUGACACUGAUGCGCGACAGCAUGGGGAGCAAACAGG
rnacentral:rRNA from 1 species